rnacentral:rRNA from 1 species
UACGGAGGGUGCAAGCGUUAUCCGGAUUCACUGGGUUUAAAGGGUGCGUAGGUGGAUUUAUAAGUCAGUGGUGAAAGCCCCGAGCUCAACUUGGGAAUUGCCAUUGAUACUGUAGAUCUUGAGUGCGGUUGAGGUAGGCGGAAUGUUACAUGUAGCGGUGAAAUGCUUAGAUAUGUAACAGAACACCAAUUGCGAGGGCAGCUUACCAAGCCGAUACUGACACUGAUGCACGAAAGCGUGGGGAUCAAACAGG